rnacentral:rRNA from 1 species
AUUGAACGCUGGCGGCAUGCCUUACACAUGCAAGUCGAACGGCAGCACGGGAGCAAUCCCGGUGGCGAGUGGCGAACGGGUGAGUAAUGUAUCGGAACGUGCCCAGUCGUGGGGGAUAACGUAGCGAAAGCUACGCUAAUACCGCAUACGAUCUGUGGAUGAAAGCGGGGGACCGUAAGGCCUCGCGCGAUUGGAGCGGCCGAUAUCAGAUUAGGUAGUUGGUGGGGUAAAGGCCUACCAAGCCGACGAUCUGUAGCUGGUCUGAGAGGACGACCAGCCACACUGGGACUGCGACACGGCCCAGACUCCUACGGGAGUCAGCAGUGGGGAAUUUUGGACAAUGGGCGCAAGCCUGAUCCAGCAAUGCCGCGUGCAGGAUGAAGGCCUUCGGGUUGUAAACUGCUUUUGUACGGAGCGAAAAGGCUCUCUCUAAUACAGGGGGCUCAUGACGGUACCGUAAGAAUAAGCACCGGCUAACUACGUGCCAGCAGCCGCCGUAACAC